GAGAGAAAAUUUGGUUGGCUGAAGUGUG
rnacentral:piRNA from 2 species